AACGCUGGCGGCAGGCCUAACACAUGCAAGUCGAACGGUAACAGGAAGCAGCUUGCUGCUUCGCUGACGAGUGGCGGACGGGUGAGUAAUGUCUGGGGAUCUGCCUGAUGAGGGGGAUAACUACUGGAAACGGUAGCUAAUACCGCAUAACGUCGCAAGACCAAAGAGGGGGACCUUCGGGCCUCUUGCCAUCAGAUGAACCCAGAUGGGAUUAGCUAGUAGGUGGGGUAACGGCUCACCUAGGCGACGAUCCCUAGCUGGUCUGAGAGGAUGACCAGCCACACUGGAACUGAGACACGGUCCAGACUCCUACGGGAGGCAGCAGUGGGGAAUAUUGCACAAUGGGCGCAAGCCUGAUGCAGCCAUGCCGCGUGUAUGAAGAAGGCCUUCGGGUUGUAAAGUACUUUCAGCGAGGAGGAAGGUGGUGAGUUUAAUACGCUCAUCAAUUGACGUUACUCGCAGAAGAAGCACCGGCUAACUCCGUG
rnacentral:rRNA from 1 species